GAUCCUGUUCCUUCUACUGGGGUGUGCCACUACUGUGUCCUGUAUCACACAGGAAUAUUUCAUUGGAAUUAAGGAGAUCCAGUGGGAUUAUGGUCCAGCUGGGGAAAACAAUCCUCAUCAAAACGCUGAAGGAAGAUGAUCCAACAGAAGUGCAUCCCUCAGACCAUUUUGGGGCAUUGACAUCCUGUGCCAGUGUGAACAGAGCGCGAGUGUUCAGUUGUGGAGGCUACAGCUUGUGGGUGGACAGACAUCAGGCGCACCCCACGAGAAGCAGUGCAUGAUCAACACCACCCUCAGCAAGGAGAUCUGCUCUCUCACCCUCUCACUCUGGGGGCAUCAGCGGACAGCUGUUUGGGAACCUGCAGGUUCUGAACAUGGUGGUGGGGGACAGGGUGUACUGGUACCUGAAGGGGAUGGGCAAUGAGGUGGACAUCCACACUGCCUACUUCCAUGGACGCAUUGACCAGGGCAGUAAUUAAGUGGUAACACUCCCGGCACUUAUCGAAUACAAAUCUCCCCACUGGAGACCAGGGUUCAAUCUCUGCAGUCACAGUUUCUCCCACCUGCCUGUAUACUCUUCUGAUUUCUAUACGGUCUCAAUGAAUAAAAGGUAAGGUCCUAUAUGUGACAAGUUUAAAAAAAAUAAUUAGGUGAGGUAAACCUUUCCUGAAAUAUGCAUGAUAUGCCUUAUAUACGUUUUCUUCAAGCUGGUUACUUACCUGUUUUUUAAAAUAUAUAAAAUAAAAUAAAACUUAGGGUCACAUAUAGGACCUUACCUUUUGUUCAUUGAGACCUUUUAGUCAUUGGGACCCACAGGGUGUGCAGACUUUUAUUCUAGCCCAGGAAUAACACAUCUGAAUCUGACUUUCUCUCAUCCGGUGUUCCCCAGCUUAGUGGAAGGUCCUACCGGACAGUCAUGUUUCACCUAUCCUCAGCCACCUUCCAGACGGUGAAGAUGAAGCCUCAGUACCCUGGCUUCUGGUUCCUGCACUUCCACAUCAUGGCUGGUAUGGAGACCAUCUACACCACCAUUGAGAAAGGUGAGGAGUGUGUGUGAGUUCACUAUGUGAAGAGCGGUGUUACCUUAGCGUGUGUGUGUCUGUUUAUUUAAUCAUUUUGCUGUUACUCCUACUUGUGAAUGCUCAUACAACUAACCUCUCUGUGUGUUUUUGUGUCUUCAGUAUAAAGUUAAUUUUUUGGAUGAACGCGGUGCAAAACUUCAUUAAAACACAGAAACAGUUAAUAAAGCUAUUUACAUCUCUUCAGUAAUUAUAUAAUGACCUCGUAUUCCACACAAGGAGCACAGUGACUA